GUUAAGAACCCCAGGAGUUAAGGUUGAUCUUCCUCGUCUACAGCCAUGACAUGUUCCAUUGUUGCUGCUCUUGUCGCUGUGCUGGCUGUUGACCCAUUUUCACUGACUAAAACAUUUUUAAACGUAUUUGAAAGAUAACAUAUAUACAAAAUUAAAAAUGUGGCUUUGCAACCAAGACAUUUAGAAUAUACUGUAUGCAAUGAACUUCUUAUAAAAAAAAGUUUAGACCUUUCUGAACCCAAAGAGGACCAUGUCAGUUUUCAAAAAUCUAAAAAAUCCACCAAACUGGAAAAAGUUUUAACGGCUCUACCAAAUUUUUGAUCAUCAACGAUUGAUGAUCAACAAGUCGUGUGUUUGUGUAUUGAGUUUUCAUCCUUCCAUCUCCUGAAUUGAUAGCAUUGCUGUUCAUGUUUUAACUAUCCUCAAGUCCCAAAGUCUGUAAUUCUAUAUCAAAUACAGAGGAUUUAGAUAAAUAAGAGUACAUUUGUGUUCACGGGCACUGAAGCACGGUCACUGGUGAAGCGUGACGCCACCCGGAUGAUUCAGAACAAUUCAAAAAGCUCCUGACUGAAAUGUCCACCAUCCUCAGCUGCGCCACCAAGAGCUUGAAGGAGAGGGCGAAUGCUCUCAAGGAAAACAACGCUGCCCAGGCUUAUUUGAAGGAGUCCGAGUCAGUGCUCCAGCCUCUGAUUGAGAUGUUCCAGACCGCAAACCUGCCUGAGCAGCUCCAACCCAUCAUCGGAAUCUUUGAGGAUCAGAUGUAGCCCACGAACGAUAACUUAAACUCCUAGAUCAAGCCUCCGUCGGACAACUUCUAUGCCCAGACCAAGCCUCAGAUGGGGACGUUUGCGCAGCAGCUGACCAAGGCCCGGCUCCUUCAUAGCAAAGCUUGUCAUGGUUUGAUCCAGCUUUUUGGUCUUUUUCGAAGCACUGCACUGGUCUUUGUCUGUCAUGUUGUUCCCUUAUAAUUGUCUGAGAUGUAAUCCUUGAAUGUCAUCAUUAAAGCGUUUUUUUAAGUCAUCAUGACUUACUCUUUAUUUUGCUUAUAUGAGUUCAUACUGAAAUUCCGAACACAGAGAUGAAUGUAUGAAAAGCCAAAGGGCAAGUAAUCGAUGAAAUGAAAUAUAUUGAAGCAGAAUCUGAUGAGAGUUACUCAUUGAAGUGUAGGUCGAUAUCAACAUUACCUCUAACCUUUGGGUCAUUGAUGUUUUCCAUCAUUCAUGGUUCAAUAUUCUGAAAGAGCUGUCAAGUAGGUUGGAGGCUAGUUUACAGCGUGGAUAACAUCAGGUUGAGAUCAACCCAAGAAUAAUGGAUGUAUUGACUUAAGGCCAAUAAUCAACCUUAUAAACAA